CUCACUGUUAUCACAUCACAUUAUUUAGUUUAGAAAUAUUCGCCAGGAUUUUGAAAAGAAGACCGGACGGCCAGAAACAUUCAUCGUGAGGAUAUUGCAAAAUCACGACUCGAAGAAUGGGUCUCUUUUCAAUAACGUAGGAGCGUAGCCAUUCUAUUGUAUUAGAGUUACAAUUCGUUAAUGUUGCAUUUGAAUAUUUUCAUAUUUCCGAUAUUUUCAGAUUGAUUUGGCAAUAUGAAUUUCAUUUAGUGUUCUGUUUGCUUCCCAGUUAUCUAUUCCCCAGUAAAUUCCUGCGGCUGAAAGCUUGAAGAAUAUUUGCAUGUAAAUAAGUAAAAACUAGCGUUUUGGAACUUAACAAUUAUUUUUAUUCAUUGGACGAAUUAUAAAUCAAGGAAUAAAUCAUUUUUAUGAAAUACUCUUAA